CACUGGUCGAGUCGGCCUGCGCGGAAGAUGUAACGGGGCUAAACCAUGCACCGAAGCUGCGGCAGCGAACGUAUCACCCAAGACAACUUUACGGAGUUGACGAUUGACGGAGCGAAGCGACGUCAAAGCGUUCAUUAAAGUCGAGUUGGCUUAGGGAUACGUUCGUUGGGUAGGGGAGCGUUCUGUAAGCCUGUGAAGGUGUGUCGUGAGGCAUGCUGGAGGUAUCAGAAGUGCGAAUGCU
rnacentral:rRNA from 1 species